UUUAAAAUAUAACUCAAAAUCUUAUAUUCCUUAGGUCUAUGGCGUGUAAUCAAUCUCUUGAUCUUUCUAGAAAACCUACUUAUGGAGAUGUAUCAGAAAGAAACCAGUUUGAAUAUUAUACCUCAAUUAGGGAGAGAAUUUUAGAAGAUGGAUACCUGUGGAGAAAAUACGCGGUUUACAAUAAUGGUGAAAAUCGAAGGCUCUAUUUCAAAUGCACUCAUCCAAAGUGUAAGGUGAAGAAAAAAGUGGACAAUUCGCAUGAUGGUCAAAUAACAGAUAUCAUCUACAAGGGCGAUCAUAACCAUGCAGAACCUCAGCUUGGUGAAGACCCUGAAGCAAAAAGAAGGAAGAAUUUGAACUCCACAUCAUCUUUGUCCUCGAGAUCUGUUGGAGAACCAAAAAUAGUUAUCCAAAUUAAAACUGACGAAGAUAUACUUGAUGAUGGUUAUCGUUGGUAUAAGUAUUCUCAGAAUGUUACCAAAGGAAAUCAAAAUCUAAGGAGGUACUACAAAUGCACAAGUGGUGGACUUGGAUGUAAAGUUAAGAAGCGUGUAGAGAGAGAUUCAGGCAAUCUAAUAAUAAAAUAUGAAGGAAGACACAACCAUGAAGUGCCUGAACCUGAUAGUGCAUCUGUACCUACUGCUAACAAUCCCCAGCAAUAUUCUCAGGAAACCGAUGUUGAAGAAGAUGAAGCUGUUUUCUUAGGAGGUGGAUACUAUUGGAGAGAAUAUGGAGAAAGCUAUUACAAAUGCAGUCAUCCAAACCGUAGUUGUGGACUUGAACUUUCUGAUCCUUUAUCAAGUGCCCAUGGACUCGGAUCAUCAGCAUUCUCACUUGGUGAAGUCCCACAAGAACUCCAAAUGAACUUUUUGAUCCUUUAUCAAGUGUCCAUGGAAAAUCCAUUGAAUUGAGAGAAACUACUUCUGAGGCUUCAACCAUAGUUUCUAAUCAUGGGAAUGCAGAUGAUGAAGAACCUGAAGCAAAAAUAAGCAGAGGUAGAGUAGUGGACUAAUGGCUUGCUGCAGAACCAGCUGCUACUGCUGCUCUCAGACAAGGUUUUACUAAGGUGUGUUGUUGUUGUUACUCAGACUCCAAAACAACAAUUUGAGCUCUAACUAACAUAAAAUCUCACAUGUUAGAGACAAAGAUUGGAACACGAGAGAUUAGUACUUGAUAGUAUCUCUGGUUUUUUCAGUUUAAGUUCAUACAUACAUAUUAUGAAAUAUCCCAACUUCACAAACUGAAACAUUAGUAAAAUACAAGAGAUUUCCCUUGCUGGAUUUUGCUGUUUCUUUAAUUAUAUGUAAUUCAUGCAAGCUUAUGCUAAUAUUACAUGAUUUUACUAAAGUACCAAUAGUAUCACUUAGGAGAUUUGUAGUUUAAAAUUAAAUUCAUUUGAAGAUAUCAGUAACAUCUUAUAUUUCAUCACCCAUAACAAAAGAGAUGAAAGAAAAUUGAAAAGCAAUAUGCCACUAUAUAUAUAUAUAUAUAUAUAUAUAUCUUUACCUAUUAUAUAAAUGGCUAUCAAACGUUAUUUUGUAUUUAACUGAAUUUGAUAUGGUUUAACAAAAUUUUGUAUGUUUUAACCGUUGGUUAUUAAUAUUUUAACAGAAUCUAUAAUUCAGUCAAGUGAUGCAAUAGUUGAGAAAUAUACAACCAUUGCCAUAGGACACAACUAUUAGCAUUUGCAGACACAAUAAAAAUCAUCUCAUCUAUUUAUGAAUCCUAAAUUAACACAAUCAUAAAUUUCAAAUAUAAGUUCUUACAAUCUGCUAUUAAACUUGUGGAGAAGGUAAAAAAAAAAUUUACAUAAAAAUAAAAUUCUUUAUGCUAGAAGUUUACUAUUCAUGUUCAACAAUUAAAAAACUAAACAUUCUAUUGAACUAUUUUUUUUUUUCAAAGAUGUUAAGGAAUACAUUGUGAUUUCUUCUUUCAAGCUUUCAAGGAACAUUUAAAAGAUCAGUAAAAUUUCAUAUCAACAAAACAUGUAUACAAAACCAUAUACCCACACUUGGUUGGAUAGAAGCAUCUUCGGCGGGAGUUCCAGGUGAGGCACUGGACCUUUGUCCUCGUCCACUUUGUUCUCUGGGAAAGAAUUCUCAACCUCUGAUGAUCAAACAAUACAGAUUUAUCAUAGAUUAAGGUAUUUUUGUUUUCCAUGUAAUACACUCAUACACAUGUAUAAAUAUAUACUAGGU